CCCCACUGCUAUCGGGAUGGGACUAAGACAUGCUAGUCGUACGCUUCUAAGCCAUGUUGGAAGCGUGGCAUACAGCUCAGUAACACGUGGCUAACCUGCCCUUGAGACGGAGACAACCCCGGGAAACUGGGGCUAAUAUCCGAUAGGUGGAGAACUCUGGAAUGAGUUUUUGCCCAAAAGGCUCUUAGAACAUGCUUCUAGGCGUCGCCCAAGGAUGGGGCCGCGGCCGAUCAGGUUGUUGGUGAGGUAAUGGCUCACCAAGCCUUUAACCGGUACGGGCCGUGGGAGCGGUAGCCCGGAGAUGGGAACUGAGACAAGGUCCCAGGCCCUACGGGGCGCAGCAGUCGCGAAAACUUCGCAAUACACGAAAGUGUGACGGGGCCAUCCCGAGUGUCGUCCGCUGAGGAUGACUUUUCCCCAAUGUAGAUAGUUGGGGGAAUAAGGAGAGGGCAAGUCUGGUGUCAGCCGCCGCGGUAAUACCAGCUCUUCGAGUGGUGGGGACGUUU
rnacentral:rRNA from 1 species